GGCAUGGUGGUUUAGUGGUUAGCACUGCUGCCUUGCACUUUUUGAGUUGGGGGUUCAAAUCCCACCUCUGCAC